GCACUCUGCUGAACGCAAAGAUGCGUAAAAUAUUGACAGGGUGAUGUAUUAAAUAUUGACUUACUAAGAAAUUAAAGUAUCUUUGUAAAGCGCACGAUUUUCUACUCUUGGGAAUUUAAAGCAAGCUUCUUAAACAGUUUCUUAUGCAUAAAAUUUACUUAUGUCAAGCUUUUAUGCACUUGUGCGGAGUUCAGCAGAGUGCUGAGGCAUUCAAAUUCUAACAAUACGUUAUUUCUAUACUGUAGAGGGUACUUUUUUGGGGACACCCUGUAUAUCAAAACAAGUAACUCGAUGACAUGAGAACAGUGGGAUUCUCAAAACAAUGAAAUGACAAUGGAACAUUCCGAUCACUGGAACGGAUUCGGUACUAUUGUUAAUACGCAAAGAACGCCCAAACAAAUGGUAUAAAUAGCAGAGAACUUGUAUUCACGAGCCUUUAGAACUCAGAAGACAAUCAACAACGAACUCGUCCACAUAACCAACGUCCAACAAUGUCAAGCAAAGUUUUCUUCCUUGUUAUCUCAAUGGCAAUUUGUUUCAGCGCCAUGACAAGAACGGCAAGCGCCACGAACGCACCAGCGCUGACAACCCAAGCAGUUAACCCAACACAAGUACAGCCAGAGCCCACGCCAACUCACAGUAUACAGCCAACUUUAAAAAGCGUGAAUGGCACCAUUUCUCCGACCAAAAUUCGAACAACAAGUUCUGCUAGUCGUCUUGGAAUCUCGUCUCUUCUUUAUGCAGCCAUUCUCGCUUUGGUGUUACGGUGAAUCAGCCAUUAAACGAACUCUAAGCCCAAGUCUUAAAGAGAGGACAGUUUGCACAUUUUGAACUUUGUUAUAACUUAUUAUAUAUUAUUUUGCUUCAAGUGAAAUCUCGAAAGUUAUAGUUUUGAUGACCAUGUUUAAACGGACCUUAUAGCUUAGAGGACAGUUUGAACGUUAUUAAAUGAAAGUAUUUAUAUAGACUAUGAUCUGGCCUUAAUAGGUGUACCUAUUUAUUUUUCAAGUUAAAAUCCGAUAGAUCUAGCUCUAAAUCUGCGUUGCAUAGGCCAUUGCUUAUUUCGAAAUCGCUGUUAGCUCUUAACCCAAGCUAGACCAAGCUGGACAUAGGAAGUUAUAAUUGAUGUAUAUUAUUGAUGUAAAGUUAAAGUUAGAAGUUAUUGGAUUUUUCCUCUGUUUAAACGGGCAGUAACGCGUUUCAUCGUGUUUGAAGUUUAUAUAAGUUUAAGUAUAGAACCGCCCCGAAUUUGCCCCACUUGGAUAUGCCCAAUUCUUGCGUUCUCAAAGUGUAAGGUAGUUUUUUUACCAAAAUGGCUGGCGGCCAUGUUCUUAGCAAGUGCUCUAAAGAGAGGCAUUCACC